AAAUACUACUGACUGACCGAUAGUGAACCAGUACCGUGAGGGAAAGGCGAAAAGAACCCCGGAGAGGGGAGUGAAAUAGAACCUGAAACCGUAUGCGUACAAGCAGUGGGAGCCUACUUUGUUAGGUGACUGCGUACCUUUUGUAUAAUGGGUCAGCGACUUAUUUUCAGUGGCGAGCUUAACCGAAUAGGGGAGGCGUAGCGAAAGCGAGUCUUAAUAGGGCGUCUAGUCGCUGGGAAU
rnacentral:rRNA from 1 species